UGGGGAAUAUUGGACAAUGGGCGAAAGCCUGAUCCAGCCAUGCCGCGUGUGUGAAGAAGGUCUUCGGAUUGUAAAGCACUUUAAGUUGGGAGGAAGGGGAUUAACCUAAUACGUUAGUGUUUUGACGUUACCGACAGAAUAAGCACCGGCUAACUCUGUGCCAGCAGCCGCGGUAAUACAGAGGGUGCAAGCGUUAAUCGGAAUUACUGGGCGUAAAGCGCGCGUAGGUGGUUUGUUAAGUUGGAUGUGAAAUCCCCGGGCUCAACCUGGGAACUGCAUUCAAAACUGACUGACUAGAGUAUGGUAGAGGGUGGUGGAAUUUCCUGUGUAGCGGUGAAAUGCGUAGAUAUAGGAAGGAACACCAGUGGCGAAGGCGACCACCUGGACUAAUACUGACACUGAGGUGCGAAAGCGUGGGGAGCAAACA
rnacentral:rRNA from 1 species